CUGCUGUGCCCUUGCAUUGUUUAAUUUGUUGCUCCUUUUUACGAAACUCUGAAAAACAAAAGAACAAGUUAGAAUAGUAUUAUGUGUCUGUACUGUUGAUAACGUAGGGGCCGAGGGAAAACUUCUCCUUUGCCCUCUGACGGUUUGCUGAAGAAUUAACUUACAAAAGGCAGAUUAACAGGAGAAAUGGCAUAUAAAGUAGCACAGGGGAGAAUCACAGUGAGUGUCUAAAUGGGGUACAGAUAAUUCUGUUUUUGGGAAAGGGAGAUGGGGAAGUGUGGAUGAUUUUAUGGGGGUGGUGAAUUACUUUUAGGGGAGUUUAAUGAGCUUGAAGAACACUUAGUGGCUGGGAACAAAGUCUGUUGGGCCCACAGGACAGUGGUUUGUGACAAAAGUCUGUCCAGGUGUGUUGACUGAAUUUAGUCUUUGUUUCUGCUAUAUAAGUCCAGUUAAUGGAAAACUCAGGGAAGGGGCCAGAGGUGGUUUUUUUCUUUGGUGGGUCUGGACUUUAGGCAGAUAAGGGGAUUUCAUUCAGAUGACAGCUUCAUCCUGUGCUUUGGGAGAAGGUCAGAGAGUUCUUGAGGCUUCUUCAGUUCAGCAUGUCAAAGUGCCAUAUUAUGGAGUAUCAAUUUCUGAGUCCCAAUGAUAGCCAUUUACAAGUUCUUGGCCUUAAAUUUCAGAUAACUGGAUCCUUAAGAAAGUUUCUUCUGUUGAAAAAACUAUUUUAAGGGGUAAAUUUCAAGGUGGAUUUUUUUUGGGGGGGAGGUGGUGGAGACGGAGUCACCCUCUGUCGCCCAGGCUGGAGUGCAAUGGCGCCAUCUCAGCUCACUGCAACCUCCACCUCCCGGGUUCAAGCGAUUCUCCUGUCUCAGCCUCCUAAGCAGCUGAGAUUACAGGCGCCUGCCACUGUGCCUGGCUAAUUUUUGUAUUUUUAGUAGAGAUAGGGUUUCACCAUGUUGGCCAGGCUGGUCUCAAAUUCCUGACCUCAUGUGAUCCACCUGCCUUGGCUUCCCAAAGUGCUGGGAUUGCAGGUGUGAGCCAUAGUGCCCGGAUUUCAAGGUGGAUUUUUAACUGGAAAAGUAAAUCAGGGGAUGGAGACCUGGCUAGCUACAUACCACCAUCAUAAGCACUUUCCUUAGAGUACAUACAAAUAAGUCAAUAAACAAGUAAAAAGUAAAAAUUGUAUUUUGGCUGAGUGCGGUGGCUCACAACUGUAAUCCCAGCACUUGUGGGAGGCCGAGGCAGAUGGAUCACCUGAGGUCAGGAGUUCAAAACCAGCCUGACCAACAUGGUGAAACCCCGUCUCUUCUAAAAAUACAAAAUUAGGCGUGGUGGUGCACGCCUGUAAUCCCAGCUACUUGGGAGGCUGAGGCAGGAGAAUCGCUUGAACCUAGGAGGUGGAGGUUGCGGUGAGCUGAGAUUGCGCCAUUGCACUCAAGCCUGGGCAACAAGAGCAAAACUCUGUCUCAAAAAAAAAAGUAAAAUUUGUAGUUUAUGUUUUAUAUGGAGAAGGAUGAGGAUACAUUAAUUAUAAAUUGUAGAAGUGGUUCUUAAAAAAUUGAGUGCCUGCUGAACCAAAGAGUGCAUUAAAUGCUCUGUUUAAAGCUAAAAGGGCUUUAACACCUAAUUUUUAUGGCAACAGAAUGAAAGAAAAGUAUGCAAAUAUCAUAUAACUCAGACAAGGAAAAGAGAUGAGACAUCAUUCAGCUGUUAAAAUAUCCCUGUCUACCCAGGAUAAGGCAAAUAAGCAACAACUGUGUUGCAAAGGCUGUUGCAAACAGCUGCCUGCUAUUUCCAGAUAUAAGCAGUAUGGGCGCUCCGCUGAGGGUGUGGCUUUUCUCACACUGGUGUGCCUGGGCUAAUAAAGGGCCUGAGAAUUGCAGAUCUGUCAAUACUGGCACAGAGGAGCACACAAGUGUGCUCUCCCUAAUAUAGUGGGUAUGAACAUCAUGCUUGGAGAUGCAAAAAUGCUUUAGAAAAAGAUCAACUGUUAAACUUCUAGACCACCCAAAAGGCCAGAUCAUGCCAUGAGCACCAAAGGGAGCUGAACUACUGUGUUCAGGACAUCUUCUGCCCAGGGUAAGAAGUGCUGCUGCUACUUAGGAAUCCAUCUGAUCAGCAUUCUUGUUCAGCUUCACUUCUUCAGGGAGAAGGUUCUCAGAAAGGGAGGUGGGUUCAGCCUUGGAGAGUUCAGCGCAAAUCCCACUUUCAGGCCCGGGGGUAGUAGAAGCCUCAGAGCCCUCUAGAAGAGAGAGGCUGGGUAUGAGCCUCUUUCGUGUGUGCAGCUUUACAAAACUUUCAAGAUUGCGAGCAUGGAGAUUGCAAUUGGAAAUGAAA
rnacentral:lncRNA from 1 species